GACGAACGCUGGCGGCGUGCUUAACACAUGCAAGUCGAACGGCAAGGCCCUGCUUUUGUGGGGUGCUCGAGUGGCGAACGGGUGAGUAACACGUGAGUAACCUGCCCUUCACUUUGGGAUAACUUCAGGAAACUGGGGCUAAUACCGGAUAGGAUCUCCUGCUGCAUUGUGGGCGUUGGAAAGUUUCGGCGGUUGGGGAUGGACUCGCGGCUUAUCAGCUUGUUGGUGGGGUAGUGGCUUACCCAGGCUUUGACGGGUAGCCGGCCUGAGAGGGUGACCGGCCACAUUGGGACUGAGAUACGGACCAGACGCCUACGGGAGGCAGUAGGGGGGAAUAUUGCACAAUGGGCGGAAGCCUGAGGCAGCAACGCCGCGUGCGGGAUGACGGCCUUCGGGUUGUAAACCGCUUUCGCCUGUGACGAAGCGUGAGUGACGGUAAUGGGUAAAGAAGCACCGGCUAACUACGUG
rnacentral:rRNA from 1 species